AGGCCAACACUCGGGGCGCUCCCUAGCCCUGGGUGGGUAGAGCGGGAGAAGCCGAGUAUGUUGGACCCGGCUCCGCCCUACCCCACGGGGCCGCCUGGAGAGGUGCUGGGAGCUGGGUGGAGCUUAAGAGGAAUUAAACUUUCGCCCUGCGUCUCGUCCAGCCUAGGUUCCACCCUUUUCUGGCAACGCUGGAGUGCGGUGGCACCAUCUCCGCUCACUGCAACCUCUGGCUCCCAGGUUCAAGCGAUUCUCCUGCCUCAGCCCCCUGAGUAGCUGGGAUUACAGGCGCGCGCCACCACUCCCAGAUGGAGUUUUGCUCUUGUUGCCCAGGCUGGAGUGCAAUGGCGAGAUCUCGGCUCACCGCAACUUCUGCCUUCUUUUUUCUUCUGUUUUUAAAACUUGUCUUCACACCCCGCUACUCCUGAGUGCCACACACCGGCUUCCUCCCAGUCCCUCAUCUGAGAACUCAUGAAGCCACCUGGAAUCCCUUUCUGCUUUGCCUGGCUCAUUCCAUCUCAAUUUCAGAUCUUCGCUACAGGUCAGCUCCAAGGAGGAGCUCUCAAAACCUAGCUCUCAAAACCUAGCUCUUUUCCUUCAGAGCACUGGCCUCCAAUU
rnacentral:antisense_RNA from 1 species